UACGUAGGUGACAAGCGUUGUCCGGAUUUACUGGGCGUAAAGAGCGCGCAGGCGGUCGUUCAAGUCGCGUGUGAAAGUCCCCGGCUCAACUGGGGAGGGUCACUCGAUACUGAUCGACUCGAAGGCAGGAGAGGGUAGUGGAAUUCCCGGUGUAGUGGUGAAAUGCGUAGAUAUCGGGAGGAACACCAGUGGCGAAGGCGACUACCUGGCCUGUUCUUGACGCUGAGGCGCGAAAGCUAGGGGAGCAAACGGG
rnacentral:rRNA from 1 species